AGAGUUUGAUCCUGGCUCAGGACGAACGCUGGCGGCGUGCUUAACACAUGCAAGUCUACGGAAAGGAGAAGCAGUAAUGUUUUUCCGGACAGUGGCGCAAGGGUGCGUAACGCGUAAGCAAUCUACCUUUAGGAGAGGAAUAACUUCGAGAAAUCUUGGCUAAUACCUCAUGAUGCAGCGGCACCGCAUGGUGAUGUUGUUAAAGUUGCAGUAAUGUAACACCUAGAGAUGAGCUUGCGUCUGAUUAGCUAGUUGGUGAGGUAACGGCCCACCAAGGCUACGAUCAGUAGCUGGUCUGAGAGGAUGAUCAGCCACACUGGAGCUGAGAUACGGUCCAGACUCCUACGGGAGGCAGCAGUGAGGAAUAUUGGGCAAUGCCCGCAAGGGUGACCCAGCAACGCCGCGUGGAGGAUGAAGGCCGUAAGGUUGUAAACUCCUGUGAGAAGGGAUGAAAACUCUAAUUUCGUAAGGGAUUAGAUUUGACCGUACCUUCAGAGGAAGCCCCGGCUAACUACGUGCCAGCAGCCGCGGUAAUACGUAGGGGGCAAGCGUUGUCCGGAUUUACUGGGUGUAAAGGGCGCGCAGGCGGGUCGGCUAGUCAGAGGUGAAAGCCUGCAGCUUAACUGCAGAACUGCCUUUGAUACUGCCGAUCUUGAGUUCGGAAGAGAGAAGCGGAAUUCCAGGUGUAGUAGUGAAAUACGUAGAUAUCUGGAAGAACACCAGUGGCGAAGGCGGCUUCUUGGUCCGCAACUGACGCUGAGGCGCGAAAGCGUGGGUAGCAAACAGGAUUAGAUACCCUGGUAGUCC
rnacentral:rRNA from 1 species